ACAAUGCACCGAAGCUGCGGCAGCGACGUUUAUGCGUUGUUGGGUAGGGGAGCGUUCUGUAAGCCUGCGAAGGUGGCCUGUGAGGGUUGCUGGAGGUAUCAGAAGUGCGAAUGCUGACAUAAGUAACGAUAAAGCGGGUGAAAAGCCCGCUCGCCGGAAGACCAAGGGUUCCUGUCCAACGUUAAUCGGGGCAGGGUGAGUCGACCCCUAAGGCGAGGCCGAAAGGCGUAGUCGAUGGGAAACGGGUUAAUAUUCCCGUACUUGGUGUUACUGCGAAGGGGGGACGGAGAAGGCUAUGUUGGCCGGGCGACGGUUGUCCCGGUUUAAGCGUGUAGGCUGGUUUUCCAGGCAAAUCCGGAAAAUCAAGGCUGAGGCGUGAUGACGAGGCACUACGGUGCUGAAGCAACAAAUGCCCUGCUUCCAGGAAAAGCCUCUAAGCAUCAGGUAACACGAAAUCGUACCCCAAACCGACACAGGUGGUCAGGUAGAGAAUACCAAGGCGCUUGAGAGAACUCGGGUGAAGGAACUAGGCAAAAUGGUGCCGUAACUUCGGGAGAAGGCACGCUGACACGUAGGUGAAGUGAUUUACUCAUGGAGCUGAAGUCAGUCGAAGAUACCAGCUGGCUGCAACUGUUUAUUAAAAACACAGCACUGUGCAAACACGAAAGUGGACGUAUACGGUGUGACGCCUGCCCGGUGCCGGAAGGUUAAUUGAUGGGGUCAGCGCAAGCGAAGCUCCUGAUCGAAGCCCCGGUAAACGGCGGCCGUAACUAUAACGGUCCUAAGGUAGCGAAAUUCCUUGUCGGGUAAGUUCCGACCUGCACGAAUGGCGUAAUGAUGGCCAGGCUGUCUCCACCCGAGACUCAGUGAAAUUGAACUCGCUGUGAAGAUGCAGUGUACCCGCGGCAAGACGGAAAGACCCCGUGAACCUUUACUAUAGCUUGACACUGAACAUUGAGCCUUGAUGUGUAGGAUAGGUGGGAGGCUUUGAAGUGUGGACGCCAGUCUGCAUGGAGCCGACCUUGAAAUACCACCCUUUAAUGUUUGAUGUUCUAACGUGGACCCGUUACCCGGGUUGCGGACAGUGUCUGGUGGGUAGUUUGACUGGGGCGGUCUCCUCCUAAAGAGUAACGGAGGAGCACGAAGGUUGGCUAAUCCUGGUCGGACAUCAGGAGGUUAGUGCAAUGGCAUAAGCCAGCUUGACUGCGAGCGUGACGGCGCGAGCAGGUGCGAAAGCAGGUCAUAGUGAUCCGGUGGUUCUGAAUGGAAGGGCCAUCGCUCAACGGAUAAAAGGUACUCCGGGGAUAACAGGCUGAUACCGCCCAAGAGUUCAUAUCGACGGCGGUGUUUGGCACCUCGAUGUCGGCUCAUCACAUCCUGGGGCUGAAGUAGGUCCCAAGGGUAUGGCUGUUCGCCAUUUAAAGUGGUACGCGAGCUGGGUUUAGAACGUCGUGAGACAGUUCGGUCCCUAUCUGCCGUGGGCGCUGGAGAACUGAGGGGGGCUGCUCCUAGUACGAGAGGACCGGAGUGGACGCAUCACUGGUGUUCGGGUUGUCAUGCCAAUGGCACUGCCCGGUAGCUAAAUGCGGAAGAGAUAAGUGCUGAAAGCAUCUAAGCACGAAACUUGCCCCGAGAUGAGUUCUCCCUGAGACUUAGAGUCUCCUGAAGGAACGUUGAAGACGACGACGUUGAUAGGCCGGGUGUGUAAGC
rnacentral:rRNA from 1 species